rnacentral:lncRNA from 13 species
UUUUCCCUGAGGUCACAGCUUCAAUAGCUAAUUAUUAACAUUGGCUUAUGUGCCAGAAGUGCCACGCAUUGGUCAAACAGUCCAUUAUUUUAGCUCUGCAACUAUGUCACUGCCUUUGCCUUGCUUCCUCUCACGCCAUUGAUCUCUGUGUUUCAUUAUGAUCUAUGAAUGCUUGGAGAGAUCAUCACCCACAGUCCAGGAGAGAUAACUUGGGCGAUACUCAGUUGCUUCUGGUCCUUUCCACAUCACUGCAGCUGUUUCAGCUCUGGUUGAAAAAUCAGAGUCAGACAAAAAUGGAAAAUCCAACACAUCUCACAGCGCCUUCCAGCCUAUUGAAGAUCUAAGUGAAGCAUUGAUCGGAAAGUGGUGAGUGGUGGAGCAUAAUCAGGACGUUUACCCUGGCAUCGGGCAAUGUGUUCACGCAGAGAGUGGUGCUCUUGUGAAAACCUUGAGUCGCAUUGGCCCCAACCGCUUUUUGGGGAUGAUGAGAGAUAGCGUCAUAAGGUACAGACCACAGCAUGUGCUUGGACUUGUCCCUGAGCCCCAUCCAGUUACCAAAAGGCACAUGGAGCUGGAUGCCUUGGUCUGGGAGGAACUUUUCUCUCUUUCAAAGCCUUGAAAACUCACUAUACAGUACAUACAAAGCAGGACAUAAAAUCAUACAUUAAAUAAAACAUGUGCAGCUCUCAAUUAACUCUUCCCUCAACAUAUAGUGCAUUCGGACCUCCUUCACUUUUUCCAUAUUUUGUUAUGUUACAGCCUUAAUCUAAAAUAAAUUGCUUUCCUCAUCAAUCUACCCACAAUACCCUAUAAUGACAAAGCAAAAACAGGUUUUCAGAACAGAAAUACCUGUUUACAUAACUAUAAUUUAACCAUAAUUUACAUAACUAUUCAGACCCUUUGCUAUGAGACUCAAAAUUGAGCUCAAGUGCAUCCUGUUCCCAUUGAUCAUCCUUGAGAUAGUUCCACAACUUGAUUGGAGUCCACAUGUGGUAAAUUCAAUUGAUUGGAUAUGAUUUAGAAAGGCACACAAUUGUCUACAUAAGGUCCCACAGAGCAAAAAUCAAGCCAUGAAGUCGAAGGAAUUGUCCAUAGAGCUCUGAGACAAGAUGUGUCAAGGCACGGAUCUGGGGAAGGGUACCAAAACAUGUCUGCAACAGUGGAGGUCCCCAAGAACACAGUGGCAUCCAUCAUUCUUAAAUGGAAGAAGUUUGUAACCACCAAGACUCUUCCUAGAGCUGGACGCCCAGGGAGGUGACCAAGAACCCAAUGGUCACUCUGACAGAGCUCCAGAGUUCCUCUGUGGAGAUGGGAUAACCUUCCAGAAGGACAACCAUCUCUGCAGCACUCCACCAAUCAGGCAUUUAUGGUAGAGUGACCAGACAGAAGACACACCUCAGUAAAAGGCACAUGACAGCCUGCUUGGAGUAUGCCAAAAGACACCUAAAAGACUCUCAGACCAUGAGAAUCAAGAUUCUCUGGUCUGAUGAAACCAAGAUUGAACUAUUUGGACUGAAUGCCUAGAGUCACGUCUGGAGGAAACCAGGCACUGCUCAUCACCUGGCCAAUAAUAUCUCCAUAGCAUGAUGCUGCCACCCCCAUCCCUGGGGUGAAGCAUGGUGGUGGCAGCCUUGGUGGUGGCAGCCUUCAGCGGCAGGGACUGGGAGACCAGUCAGGAUCAACGCAGCAAAGUACAGAGAGAUCCUUGAUGAAAACCUGCUCCAGAGCGCUCAGGACCUCAGACUGGGAGCGAAGGUUUACCUUCCAAUAGGACAACGACCCAAGGCACACACCCAAGACAACGCAAGAGUGGUUUUGGGACAAAUCUCUGAAUGUCCUUGAGUGGCCCAGCCAGAGCCCGGACCUGAUCCUGAUCGAACAUCUCCGGAGAGACCUGAAAAUAGCUGUGCAGCGAUGCUCCCCAUCCAACCUGACAGAGCUUGAGAAAAUCUGCAGAGAAGAAUGGGAGAAACUCCAAGCUUGUUGCGCCAUACUCAAGAAGACUUGAGGCAAUAAUCACUUCUAAAGGUGCUUAAACAAAGUUCUACUUAGCUAACAUGUGGAAUUGUUUAACAUGGUCUUACCAUGGACCAUUAGCUAUUUGAUUUGGAAUUGUAGGACCCCAUUGAAUUUGGCCAUACUGCUAUUAACCCAUAGAAACACAUUGAAUAACAUUCAUACAUGGCAAAACAUUUAGUAAAAACAAUUAUCAAAAAUAAGUAUUUGAGCGAUAUAAGAAAGCUCAGUGGAUUGACUGGUAUACCUUUAACAUGGAAAUGCCCUAUUUAAUUCCAUUCAUUUUUGCCCGGUACUGGGUUACCUUCAGUCUUGCAAGGCUUGUGGGCAUUGUAGCGCAAAAAGAGGCAUGUUCUAGGGUUGAAUGGCGGGAACCCUGCUCAGGCGUUUAUUUUACCCAUGGUACGUUAGGUUAGCUUAAAGAGAAAGACUGAUGAGGAUUUAUUAUUAUGCUCAUUAAAUUUUUUCACGGCCAAGGAUAUCGACUUUAGACCUCUUUUGUAGUCUCUGCUGUGUUGCAACACUCCAGUAAUUUGGUGGAUUGUCACAAUUAGACUUGUAUGCAAAAUGUAUUGUUGUGUGAAGUAGUUUUGGAUGGACAUCCAUCAAGUUGCUGUUGCUUUGGCUGUAGAUUUUUGGGGAACUCUUUCCGUAGUAGGUUAGGGAAAUGCUCCCCUAACCUGCAAUGAAAAUCACUUUGUAUCGAAGUACCAUAAAAAGAGUGUGUCCUGUCGAUUUUUACGAAUUUCAUUUAUUUCUAAAUUGACAGAUUGCAAUCAAAACACAAGUCAAAGUACUGUAUGGAGUGCUUUCUGCCAUCUUUGUAUUUACAUUCUUAUUCGUUUUCAGCAGAGUAAUACCUGAAGGAGAACGAAUGAGACAUUGAUUUAGGCCCUCUAGGGUAGUUAGUUAUUUUUUACUGGAGCGAAAGUGGGACCAGCCCCGCCCAUAACCCUGGCUGCCAAUCUAUUCCUAUCAAUAGACAUUAUGCUUUCUAUAAAUCUCUCUUCUGAAAUCAAUAGACAUAAAAUAUCAUCAUCACUUGCACAUCCCCAAGCAGUACAAGCUCAAACUGCAGGUAGUAUAUCACAGUGAAAACUAUUCUAGCUGUGUACACAUCUGGCUUUUAAACAUCAGCUGAGAGAAGUAGUAACUGUUACUGAAAGAAAUCAGCUUAAAACCGCAUGAUCAUGCACGUUUUUCAGAUUGUGUAAUAUCACUAUAGUGCUUUGACAGUUUCAAUCAACAUACUGUCCACUCUAACCACUGAACUGUUUCAAUCAAAUGCAUGAUGAACCACAUAUAUUAAAGGAGAAGUGAAGCAUGUCUGGCAACUUUGGAAUUUGGAAUAUGUAGAUGUAGAUGGAUGGCCUGUUGCAUUUUACAGAGCAUGUUGCAGGUCUUGGUCACAUGCUGAGGUCAUCAAUCAUCCCUGACUUUGUUGUAGAAUAUAAGGUCAUUGUU